GACGAACGCUGGCGGCGUGCUUAACACAUGCAAGUCGAACGGAAAGGCCCUGCUUUUGUGGGGUGCUCGAGUGGCGAACGGGUGAGUAACACGUGAGUAACCUGCCCUUGACUUUGGGAUAACUUCAGGAAACUGGGGCUAAUACCGGAUAGGAGCUCCUGCUGCAUGGUGGGGGUUGGAAAGUUUCGGCGGUUGGGGAUGGACUCGCGGCUUAUCAGCUUGUUGGUGGAGUAGUGGCUUACCAAGGCUUUGACGGGUAGCCGGCCUGAGAGGGUGACCGGACACAUUGGGACGGAAUGACGACCCAGACUCCUACGGGAGGCAGUAGUGGGGAAUAUUGCCCACUGGUGGGAGGCCUGAUACGGCAGCGCCGCGUGCGGGAUGUCUGCUUUCUGGUUGUAAACCGCUUUCGCCUGUAACGAAGCGUGAGUGACGGUAAUGGGUAAAGAAGCACCGGCUAACUACGUG
rnacentral:rRNA from 1 species